rnacentral:pre_miRNA from 1 species
CCAAAACUAACCACUUGUCAUUUUCUGAUUGGUUAUUAGUGUGUUCAAAUUUUCUAAGACCAAUUAGAAAAUGACAAGUGACUAAUUUUGG